CCUACAGGGGGGCUGCAGUGGGGAAUAUUGGACAAUGGGGGCAACCCUGAUCCAGCCAUGCCGCGUGUGUGAAGAAGGCCCUCGGGUUGUAAAGCACUUUCAGUGAGGAAGAACGCCUGGUGGUUAAUACCCAUCAGGAAAGACAUCACUCACAGAAGAAGCACCGGCUAACUCCGUGCCAGCAGCCGCGGUAAUACGGAGGGUGCGAGCGUUAAUCGGAAUUACUGGGCGUAAAGCGCGCGUAGGUGGCUUGAUAAGCCGGUUGUGAAAGCCCCGGGCUCAACCUGGGAACGGCAUCCGGAACUGUCAAGCUAGAGUGCAGGAGAGGAAGGUAGAAUUCCCGGUGUAGCGGUGAAAUGCGUAGAGAUCGGGAGGAAUACCAGUGGCGAAGGCGGCCUUCUGGACUGACACUGACACUGAGGUGCGAAAGCGUGGGUAGCAAACAGGAUUAGAUACCCCUGUAGUC
rnacentral:rRNA from 1 species